GACGAACGCUGGCGGCGUGCUUAACACAUGCAAGUCGAACGGUGAAGCGCCUUCCUUUUUGGUGGGUGUGGAUGAGUGGCGAACGGGUGAGUAACACGUGAGUAACCUGCCCCCUUCUUCUGGAUAACCGCAUGAAAGUGUGGCUAAUACGGGAUAUUCUGGGUCUGUCGCAUGAUGGGUCUGGGAAAGAUAUUGUUUCGGUGGGGGAUGGGCUCGCGGCCUAUCAGCUUGUUGGUGGGGUGAUGGCCUACCAAGGCGGUGACGGGUAGCCGGCCUGAGAGGGUGGACGGUCACACUCAGACUGAGACACGGCCCAGACUCCUACGGGAGGCAGCAGUGGGGAAUAUUGCACAAUGGGCGCAAGCCUGAUGCAGCGACGCCGCGUGAGGGAUGGAGGCCUUCGGGUUGUGAACCUCUUUCGCCAGUGAAGCAGGCCUGCCUCGUUUGUGGGUGGGUUGACGGUAGCUGGAUAAGAAGCGCCGGCUAACUACGUG
rnacentral:rRNA from 1 species